CACAUAUCAGUCAUAGUGAAGGAGGCAUGGACUACGUACCUAUAAGACUUAGUGAAGGAGGUGUGGCUUGUGUUCUUGUCAGAGAUAGUGAAGGAGGCGUGGCCUGUGUGCUUGUCAGUCUCAGCGAAGGAGGCGUGGCCUGUGUGCUUAUCAAUUGCAGUGAAGGAUGUGUGGCCUAUGUACCUGUAAGACAUAAUGAAUGAGGCAAGGCUUUAAUUUGUUUGAUGUAGCUGAUUUGUGUUUUCUGAACUGUACUGUAGAGUCGACCACCAUAUGCAUCUCACAUAAAAGGGUGUGUGUGUGUGUGUGUGUGUGUGUGUGUGUGUGUGUGUGUGGGUGGAUCACCGUGUCAUGUGAAAGUAAAGCAGCGAUUUCAUGGUAAUUAUUUUUUCCCUCGUCGCUGUAACACUUGUCUGCUGCGGAUAAGUUAAUUAAUUACCACUGGAGUUUAGUGACAGUGUAUGAAGAUGCUGCUGAAACGAGAUUCACACCUCCGUCUCUCUUCCUCCAUCCAUUUCUCUGUCUGUCUGUCUCUCUCUCACCUUCUCCUUCUCCUUUUUCCCCACUGCCUCGGCUCCGAGCCCUACAUAAAGGCAGGCAGCAUGUAGAAGAGUUAAAACAGAGAAACGGCAGAUAAAUGCCCAUUGUCACUCGAGCUGUUUAUUUACUCAUCGGACCCACGCUCGUUUAACGUCGCUAAUUGCAUCCUUUCAUUGUGAAGCCGCCAUUUUUCUUUCUUGCAUCCCUGAUCACAUCUUUUUUUUUCCUCCUCUGCUUCAAAAGACUCCAGCAGGGAAUAUUUACAUUACUGUCCUUUGCAUUUCUGAAAAAUAAAAAAAUGUUUGUGAAAAUGUAGGAGAAGAAAUAUAUAGUGACUGCAUGGGGUCUUGGAGACUGCAGAAUCGCCUUAACUGGUCAUGUAGCAUCAUUUUAUCAGCUCAAUAUGCUAAAUAUUUUAGCAUAUUUUAUUUCAUAAAAGUAUAACUCUAUCACAAUGAAUUAAUUCCAGUCUGAAAAUUAGAAAUGACUUAUAUAAUUUUAGACACCACACUUGGACUGCCGUUGGUUGGGGGGGG
ensembl:lncRNA